GUAGAAGUUGCUGCUUUCUUCUCUGUGGGCUCCUUUCUCGUGGAUCUGGACCCCAGGAGUUCCCAGGCAUAGAGAGGAGGGGUGCCAGUGGAGUGUAAGCACCAUGACAACAGGAACUGUGUCUUGACCACUGUUGACUUCCAAGCACCUCAAAUAGGACCUGUCACAUAGAAGUUUCAAUCAAUAUUUGUUGAGUGAAUGAAGACAACAGGUGUCAACUUAGCUUCUACUACAGUUCUAAGACUUUUGCGUCAAGAAGUGGGGACACUCCAGAUGCAAUGUGCCAACGACCUCACAGACACAGGUUGUGGAUAGCAGCAGACAUGGAGGUGGAGGCUGGGCGGCCAGUGAUGCUGUGAGUCAGUUCUGCAGGCUGUACGGGAAGCACGGCACCAGUAUCUGCUUCUGGUGAGGACUCAGGAGCUUAAAAUCAUGGUGGAAGCAGGGAGAGCAAGCAUGUCACAAGGUGAGAGAGGAAGCAAGAGAGAAGUGGAGAGGUCCCAGACUCUUUCUAACAACCAGAUCUCACAUGAAUUCCUUACUGCUGGGAGGGCAGCAAACUAUGCAUGAAUGAUCCAUCCCAUGACCCAAACACCUCCCAGUAGGCCCCACCUUCAACAUUGGGAAUCACAUUUCAACAUGAGAUUUGGAGGGGACAAACAUCCAAACUAUAUCAGAUGGGAACCGUCAGGGCAGUUGAGCAAAGACGUGACAGGAUUUGGCUUCCAUUAUGAAAGCAUUGCUAGGGACACUGGGUGGAGAAUUAGACCACAGAGGGGUCAGAAAGCAGGAGGAAAAUCAGGAACUCCCCACCCCCCGCCAUAUUCAGAUGAUGAUUCUCAGCUCACAAAUGUGCCUCCAAAAUCUGAUGGCACCAUGACCCUCUCCUGGAUCCUCGGGUGACUUCGCUCUGCCUUUAAAUGGAACAUAUACACGGGCAGCCACGAGAUCCUGCACGUUCUGCACCAGCCUCCCUCUGCAUUGCCUUGCUACCAUGGAUUUGCCUUCUGUUCUCUCUCUCUCUUACUUGGUGAUUCCACCCGAGACCGUGUUUCUGGUACUUACCUGGCCCGUGUGCAUUUCCCUGAUGCCUGCGAUGUUCUCCUCCACUUCUUUAUCUGGCUAAGACCUGGUCACCUUAACCAUCUUCAACCUUCUGUUUCUCAGGGAAGCCACUCCUGCCUCUCGCAGACCAGCCUGGGUAGGGCUUCGUACAGCCUAGGGUUCCCCCCCUACUUUGGUCAUACUGCUCACUUUUGGGAGUACCUGCUCUUUUUGGUCUCUUUCUUUGGGCUCCAGUCACCAAGGCCAGGUCAACUUCUCUCUUGUUCACCCGUCAGCACUUAAGCCAAGUGCACAAUCCCAAAAACCUGAUGGCACCACGACCGUCCGGAAUAUCUGGACCCUUGACAAGGAAUACUUUGUGAGGUGAACAGAAUACUUGCCAACAUCACACAGCUACUAAGCGGGCAGAUCAAGGAUCAAACUCCUGCUUCCAACUUCUUCCUGGCCCCUGGACCUUAACUCAAGGCUCAGUUUAGCCUCAGCUGGUGACAGCUGGGCUCCAGGAUCUGCAAAGGCUCCCCCAGUCCAUCUGACCACAAGAAUUACCCAGGCCUGGGGACACUUGUAAGAAUACUCACCUGAACCUGCAGAAUCACAGCUCCAGAAGAUGAACCUGGGAUUCUCAUUCUGUUUAUUUGUUUGUUUAUUCAAGGGUCCCAGGUGAAUCUUAUCACCAAAUAAGUUUUGGAAAUACAUUUCUAAGGGACUCCUUCCCAAAGGAGCUUCCCAGAACAGAAAGGUCAAAGAGGAGGCAAAAACAUGAUUGUAGUGGCUAUUUCAGCACAGCAACAGUUCCUUCUCAAAUGUCUCCUCUCUAUUAUAAAAAGAAACUUUGCAUCUGAGCCUGAUAUUUAUUUAUGCGAAUUAUUUUGUGGGAUGAAUGGAAGUCUCCAGAACUUUCACGGAAAGUUCCGCUUCCUGGACAACUGUAAAUAGCUCUGCCCUGACAAACUUUGACCAAGUGCAAAUUAAGGAACACUCAAAAGGAGCACAAGCAGAGAUGAGGACACUCUCAGAACUCCUGAAAGGAGAGGCAGAAGCUCAGAGAGGUUAAUCAGCUUAUCUGAAGUCACACAUCUGGUAGGUGGUAGAGGUGGAACCAGACCCAGCCCUCUGCAUCCCUGGCUGGUAUUUUUCCUUCUGAAACACAAGAGUGCAUCAGGGCAAUGUUGCUUCUGCACAGAAAACUGUGGUGCCUACACUGGAGCAAAAGGUGCUCCAAGAA
rnacentral:lncRNA from 1 species